UUAGAGAGAGAGAGAGAGAUAGAGUACAAAAUAAAGCAUGCAGACAUCAAAGUUCAACAAUGUCAUCAAUGUCAUACAAAUUAUAAGAUUUUACCUCUUAAAAGCCUUGUUGGUAACUAAGUAUUUUGAUAACAUUCCCUUUUCUAGGAUAGAUCCCUAACCAUGGUUCAGUUCACAUUCAUUUCAUAAACCCCAAGCCUAACCGAAUGGUGUUCACGAGGAAUCAUG
rnacentral:misc_RNA from 1 species